rnacentral:rRNA from 1 species
UGGGGGAUAUUGCACAAUGGGCGAAAGCCUGAUGCAGCGACGCCGCGUGGGGGAUGAAGGCUUUCGGGUUGUAAACCUCUUUCGCUAUCGAACAAGGCCCGCGUAGGGGGGGUUGAGGGUAGGUGGAGAAGAAGCGCCGGCUAACUACGUGCCAGCAGCCGCGGUAAUACGUAAGGCGCGAGCGUUGUCCGGUAUUGUUGGGCGUAGAGGGCUGGUAGGGGGCUUGUUGCGUCUGCUGUGAAAACGCGGGGCUUAACUUCGCGCGUGCAGUGGGUACGGGCAGGAUUGAGUGUGGUAGGGGGGACUGGAAUGCCAGGUGUGGCGGUGGAAUGCGCAGAUAUCUGGAGGAACACCGAUGGCGAAGGCAGGUCACUGGGCCAUUACUGACGCUGAGGAGCGAAAGCAUGGGUAGCGAACAGG